rnacentral:lncRNA from 1 species
CCUUCUCCUCCCCCCACUCCCUUGCUCCUUCCCUGCCUGACACUGUGGGCCUGGUGGCCAAUCGGCUUCUCCAGAAGAUCAAAUGUCACUAUAACAUGAGGACUUAAUCACCUUGGGAAGUUUGCAGAUCCUGCAGCCCGUCCCAUUCGGCAGGGAACUCACCACUUCUCUCAGCUUCCCCCUCUCAGAAACCCACUGCCAACAUGUCUGACACCGAGGAAGUGGAUCAGGUAGAGGGUAAGUCAUAAAGCUCCUUGUCUCUAAUUCUUUAAACAUCAGCCUGAUGUGUUUUUAAACAGCCUUUUCCAUUUUAUUUUUCUGCUGCAUAUUAUUUUCCUUUUAUUUAUUCUGGGU